CAAUAGCGUAUAUUAAAGUUGUUGCGGUUAAAAAGCUCGUAGUUGGAUUUCUGUCGAGAACUGGCGGUCUACACUUUGUGUAAGUAUCUGCUUAGGUCUUGGCAUCCUCCUGGGGAACGUUUCUGCGCUUGAUUGCGUGGAGCGGAAUUCAGGACUUUUACUUUGAGGAAAUUAGAGUGUUCACGGCAGGCAAACGCCUUGAAUAUAUUAGCAUGGAAUAAUAAUAUAGGACCUUUGUUCUAUUUUGUUGGUUUCUAGAGCGAAGGUAAUGAUUAAUAGGGAUAAUUGGGGGCAUUCGUAUUAACGCGUCAGAGGUGGAAUUCUUGGAUUGCGUUACGACGAACUACUGCGAAAGCAUUUGCCAAGGAUGUUUUCAUUGAUCAAGAACGAAAGUUAGGGGAUCGAAGACGAUCAGAUACCGU
rnacentral:rRNA from 1 species